rnacentral:rRNA from 1 species
CUGGUUUUUAAAAACAUCGCUUAAAGAUAAAAAUUUUAAGUAUUCUCUGCCCAAUGAUUAUUUUAAUGGCUGCAGUAUUUUGACUGUUCAAAGGUAGCAUAAUAAGUUGGCUUUUAAUUUAAGUCUAGAAUGAAAGAGGUAAUGAACUAUAUACUUUAUUUUUUUAAUAAGUUGAAAUUAAUUUUUAAGUAAUAAAGCUUAAAUUAUUUUAUAGGACGAGAAGACCCUAUAGAGUUUUAUAUAAAAUAGAUUAGUUAAUUUAAUUAUAAUAAUUUAUUAAUAUAUUUUUUUGGGGAGAAGGUGAAAAUUUUAAACUUUUAUUAUUUAUUAAACAAUUUUAAUUGAAUUUAUUUAUUUAUAUUAUUUUUAAAUUAAAAUAAUUUUAGGAGUGCCUUGAAGUUACUAUAUUAUUUUAAUGUGAAAUAAUUUAAAUUUAAAUGAUUGUAAUUUUAUUAAAUUUAAGAUUAAAUUACCUUAGGGAUAACAGCGUUAUAUUUUAUUAGAGAUUGUAUCGGAUAAUUUGUUUGCGACCUCGAUGUUGAA